rnacentral:rRNA from 1 species
ACUCAAAUGAAUUGACGGGGAGGCGCACAAGCAGUGGAGCGUGUGGUUCAAUUCGAUACAAAGCGAAAAACCUCACCAGGGUUUGACAUGCAAAUGCUAAUCCCGUGAAAGCGGGACUCCUUCGAGGGUUUUGCACAGAUGCUGCAUGGCUGUCGUCAGCUCGUGGCGUGAGCUGUACCGUUAAGUCGGGAAACGAGCGCAACCCGCACCGUAUGUUAAAUUGUUCAUGCGGAACAGCUCCGGCUUUGCCGGAGAGGAAGGCGCGGAUGACGUCAAGUCAGCACGGCUCUUACACCCUGGGCUACACACACCCUACAAUGGCUGAAACAACGAGUUGCAAACCCGCAAGGGCAAGCUAACCUCUUAAAAUCAGCCUCAGUUCAGAUUGGGGUCUGCAACCUGACCCCAUGAAGUUGGAAUUGCUAGUAAUCGCGAAUCAGCAGGUCGCGGUGAAUACGUUCUCGCCUCUUGCACACACCGCCCGU